UUGGGGGCGUGCUUAACACAUGCAAGUCGAACGGCAAGGCCCUUCUUUUGUGGGGUGCCCGAGUGGCGAACGGGUGAGUAACACGUGAGUAACCUGCCCUUGACUUUGGGAUAACUUCAGGAAACUGGGGCUAAUACCGGAUAGGAGCUCCUGCUGCAUGGUGGGGGUUGGAAAGUUUCGGCGGUUGGGGAUGGACUCGCGGCUUAUCAGCUUGUUGGUGGGGUAGUGGCUUACCAAGGCUUUGACGGGUAGCCGGCCUGAGAGGGUGACCGGCCACAUUGGGACUGAGAUACGGCCCAGACUCCUACGGGAGGCAGCAGUGGGGAAUAUUGCACAAUGGGCGGAAGCCUGAUGCAGCAACGCCGCGUGCGGGAUGACGGCCUUCGGGCUGUAAACCGCUUUCGCCUGUGACGAAGCGUGAGUGACGGUAAUGGGUAAAGAAGCACCGGCUAACUACGUGCCAGCAGCCGCGGUGAUACGUAGGGUGCGAGCGUUGUCCGGAUUUAUUGGGCGUAAAGGGCUCGUAGGUGGUUGAUCGCGUCGGAAGUGUAAUCUUGGGGCUUAACCCUGAGCGUGCUUUCGAUACGGGUUGACUUGAGGAAGGUAGGGGAGAAUGGAAUUCCUGGUGGAGCGGUGGAAUGCGCAGAUAUCAGGAGGAACACCAGUGGCGAAGGCGGUUCUCUGGGCCUUUCCUGACGCUGAGGAGCGGAAGCGUGGGGAGCGAACAGGCUUAGAUACCCUGGUAGUCCACGCUGUAAACGGUGGGUACUAGGUGUGGGGUCCAUUCCACGGGUUCCGUGCCGUAGCUAACGCUUUAAGUACCCCGCCUGGGGAGUACGGCCGCAAGGCUAAAACUCAAAGGAAUUGACGGGGCCCCGCACAAGCGGCGGAGCAUGCGGAUUAAUUCGAUGCAACGCGUAGAACCUUACCUGGGUUUGACAUGGAUCGGGAGUGCUCAGAGAUGGGUGUGCCUCUUUUGGGGUCGGUUCACAGGUGGUGCAUGCCUGUCGUCAGCUCGUGUCGUGAGAUGUUGGGUUAAGUCCCGCAACGAGCGCAACCCUUGUUCACUGUUGCCAGCACGUUAUGGUGGGGACUCAGUGGAGACCGCCGGGGUCGACUCGGAGGAAGGUGGGGAUGACGUCAAGUCCUCAUGCCCCUUAUGUCCAGGGCUUCACGCAUGCUACAAUGGCUGGUACAGAGAGUGGCGAGCCUGUGAUGGUGAGCGAAUCUCGGAAAGCCGGUCUCAGUUCGGAUUGGGGUCUGCAACUCGACCUCAUGAAGUCGGAGUCGCUAGUAAUCGCAGAUCAGCAACGCUGCGGUGAAUACGUUCCCGGGGCUUGUACACACCGCCCGUCAAGUCAUGAAAGUUGGUAACACCCGAAGCCGGUGGCCUAACCGUUGUGGGGGAGCCGUCGAAGGUGGGACUGGUGAUUAGGACUAAGU
rnacentral:rRNA from 1 species